CUACGGGUCGCUGCAGUGAGGAAUAUUGCACAAUGGAGGAAACUCUGAUGCAGCAACGCCGCGUGGAGGAUGACGCAUUUCGGUGUGUAAACUCCUUUUAUAUGUCAAGAAAAUGACGGUAGCAUAUGAAUAAGCUCCGGCUAACUCCGUGCCAGCAGCCGCGGUAAUACGGAGGGUGCAAGCGUUACUCGGAAUCACUGGGCGUAAAGGACGCGUAGGCGGGAUAUCAAGUCAGGUGUGAAAUCCUACAGCUUAACUGUAGAACUGCACUUGAAACUGGUAACCUAGAGUAUGGGAGGGGGAGAUGGAAUUAGUGGUGUAGGGGUAAAAUCCGUAGAUAUCACUAGGAAUACCUAAAGCGAAGGCGAUCUCCUGGAACAUAACUGACGCUAAGGCGUGAAAGCGUGGGGAGCAAACAGGAUUAGAUACCCCCGUAGUC
rnacentral:rRNA from 1 species